UUCAGGCCUAACACAUGCAAGUCAAGGAAAAGCUUCGCUUCGGUGGAGUGGAAACUGGCGCACGGGUGAGUAACGCGUAUGCAAUCUGCCCUUAGUCCGGGGAUAACAUUUCUAACGAGGUGCUAAUACCCGAUGAUGCAGCGGCACCGCAUGGUGACAGUUGUUAAAGUUUCGGUGACUAAGGAUGAGCAUGCGUCCCAUUAGGUAGUUGGUAGGGUAACGGCCUACCAAGCCAUCGAUGGGUAGCUGGUCUGAGAGGAUGAUCAGCCACACUGGGACUGAGACACGGCCCAGACUCCUACGGGAGGCAGCAGUGAGGAAUAUUGCGCAAUGGGCGAAAGCCUGACGCAGCAACGCCGCGUGCGGGAUGAAGGCCUUAUGGGUCGUAAACCGCUGUAGCAGGGGAAAAAUAUCCCGUUCGACGGGAUUGAUGGUACCCUGAAAGUAAGCCUCGGCUAACUACGUGCCAGCAGCCGCGGUAAUACGUAGGAGGCAAGCGUUGUCCGGAUUUACUGGGUGUAAAGGGUCCGCAGGCGGACUCUUAAGUCGGUGGUGAAAUCCUGCAGCUUAACUGUAGAACUGCCUCCGAUACUGAGAGUCUUGAAUUCGGGAGAGGGUAACGGAAUUCCAGGUGUAGCGGUGAAAUGCUUAGAUAUCUGGAAGAACACCGGUUGCGAAGGCUGUUGCCUGGCCCGAAAUUGACGCUCAUGGACGAAAGCGUGGGGAUCAAACAGGAUUAGAUACCCUGGUAGUCCACGCCGUAAACGAUGGAUACUCGGUGUUGGCCCGUAUGGGUCGGUGCCUAAGCUAACGCAGUAAGUAUCCCACCUGGGAAGUACGAUCGCAAGGUUGAAACUCAAAGGAAUUGACGGGGGCCCGCACAAGCAGUGGAGCAUGUGGUUUAAUUCGAUGCAACGCGAAGAACCUCACCUGGGCUCGAAAGACUGGAUUAUCCUUCGGUGAAAGUCGGAGGCGCUUCGGCAAUCCAGACAGGUGCUGCAUGGCUGUCGUCA
rnacentral:rRNA from 1 species